rnacentral:hammerhead_ribozyme from 1 species
GCACUGCUGAGGACUCCCACAAUAGGACGAAACGGCCGUUCAGUGC